UUAAAUAAGUACAGUGAGCUCAGAAACAAAGUGCUGGAGCUGGAGAGGUGGCUGAGCAGCAAAGGGCACUGGCUGCUUUUCCAAAGGACCAGUGCUCACUGCACAGCACCCACAAGUGCUGAGGGAAGGCGCACUGUCUGACAGGCUGCCCUGAAAAGUCUUCUCUACUGAGAUGCAGCUGUGGAAACCUUUGUACCAAGCUCUUGCUUGCUUCACUUUUCAACAUUGGUUAUUCUACUCCUUCCAAAACUGUAACUUUAAACUUCCAAGAAAACUGAACAAACCAGUGAGCAGUUUCUCCGGCUGCCUCAUCUACUCCACUGGCAUUAUUACAGCGUACACUGCUAAGGUGCAUUCAUCUUAACUGAUCAGCCAUCAUGAGUGCAUUACUGUACCUAACGUGUACGCUGCACUAGGGCUCAUUCUUGUUCCCACGAGUUUGCCUCAAAU
rnacentral:lncRNA from 1 species